rnacentral:rRNA from 1 species
CACGUAGGGCGCAAGCGUUGUCCGGAAUUAUUGGGCGUAAAGAGCUCGUAGGCGGUCUGUCGCGUCGGCUGUGAAAACUCGGGGCUCAACCCCGAGCCUGCAGUCGAUACGGGCAGACUAGAGUGCAGUAGGGGAGACUGGAAUUCCUGGUGUAGCGGUGAAAUGCGCAGAUAUCAGGAGGAACACCGGUGGCGAAGGCGGGUCUCUGGGCAACAACUGACGCUGAGGCAGCGAAAGCGUGGGGAGCAACAGG